GGGCCACGUGGUUCAGAUCUGAAUAAGUUGCGAGGUUAACAGACUGCUUGGGGCGUUACACAUCCAACAAGUAAAUCAUCUCCCAACAAGUUAUGUGAUUUUUUUUUUUUUUUUUUUUUUUUAAGUUUCAGACCAAAAUCUGUACCCCGCGCUUAAAGCAUUCCAAUGAUUGUCUCUUACUUAUUCAUCUUAUUUAAUAACCAU
rnacentral:lncRNA from 1 species